CUGUUCGCCAUUUAAAGUGGUACGCGAGCUGGGUUUAGAACGUCGUGAGACAGUUCGGUCCCUAUCUGCCGUGGGCGCUGGAGAACUGAGGGGGGCUGCUCCUAGUACGAGAGGACCGGAGUGGACGCAUCACUGGUGUUCGGGUUGUCAUGCCAAUGGCACUGCCCGGUAGCUAAAUGCGGAAGAGAUAAGUGCUGAAAGCAUCUAAGCACGAAACUUGCCCCGAGAUGAGUUCUCCCUGAGACUUUAGGUCUCCUGAAGGAACGUUGAAGACGACGACGUUGAUAGGCCGGGUGUGUAAGCGCAGCGAUGCGUUGAGCUAACCGGUACUAAUGAACCGUGAGGCUUAACCUUACAACGCCGAAG
rnacentral:rRNA from 2 species